rnacentral:rRNA from 1 species
GAUGAACGCUGGCGGCGUGCUUAAUACAUGCAAGUCGAACGAAGCACCUUGGACAGAAUCCUUCGGGAGGAAGACCAUUGUGACUGAGUGGCGGACGGGUGAGUAACGCGUGGGUAACCUGCCUUGUACAGGGGGAUAACAGUUGGAAACGACUGCUAAUACCGCAUAAGCGCACAGUACCGCAUGGUACGGUGUGAAAAACUCCGGUGGUACAAGAUGGACCCGCGUCUGAUUAGCUUGUUGGUGAGGUAACGGCCCACCAAGGCGACGAUCAGUAGCCGACUUGAGAGAGUGAUCGGCCACAUUGGGACUGAGACACGGCCCAAACUCCUACGGGAGGCAGCAGUAGGGAAUAUUGCACAAUGGGGGAAACCCUGAUGCAGCGACGCCGCGUGAAGGAAGAAGUAUUUCGGUAUGUAAACUUCUAUCAGCAAGGAAGAAAAUGACGGUACUUGACUAAGAAGCCCCGGCUAAAUAC